rnacentral:ncRNA from 1 species
AAAAAAGUGCUGAUGGAAAAAAGUACUCAUUUUGGAAGCCAAGCAGAGAGCCGGCAUUGGGUGGGAACCGGCGGCGGAGGAAUGAGGAAGUUCUUUCCUGAACUGCGCGGCUGAACGUAAAAGUAGGCUGCGACGCAUGCCCCCGUUACCGGGCGUAGAGUUGAUCUGAUGAAGAUAAUUUGGGUGGUACCACGGAUAAUCCGUCCCUUGG